rnacentral:lncRNA from 1 species
AUAUCCAACAGAAACAAGUACCUUUGAUAGAGACAUUCUUCGCCUUCUUCUCUUUAGAAAUAUUACCUUUAGGGAGUGACUGCUUAAAUAUCUCAUAUCUAGCAGUCCUACUCUGCUCCCUAUACAACUUUUUCAGAUUGAGGAAUAUGGAUUGGGGAUCUAUACUCACAUACUGCCUCUGCAACUCAUUGCUCAUAGAGGCUAGCAUGAUGUAUUUGACAGUCGUACUAUCAUCUUGCCAUAUCUGUAUAUGGCUUUUCUCUUCUCUAUGGCAUUAUCCUCGAUC